UGGGCCUGAGGCGAAGAAAAUGCAAAGUGGUCUUUGUAGAACCGUGCAAGUACGUGCUUUGGCAGCCUAUACACGUACUUCGACCAUUCGAUGGAUCUAGGUUUGCAUAUGAAUUGCCUUGGGACCCUCAUCUUUAUCUCCACUAAUUACGAUUCCUAGAGUUGCCUGAGCGCUGAGUGCUCGCCGCCCUCCGCCGGCCGCGAGCGGACGCAGAGCGCCCACCGUGGACAGGCUAUCUCGGUGUUUGCCCCACACACACUCGUUGAUUUCAAAUAAGGUAGCUUAUUUUGUCUCAGUGAUUUUGUCUUAUCUUCUAUACUACUAUAAUUUUGCCAUACAACCUUGUGCUAAGUUUUUCAUUAGUACUUGUCUCUUUCAAAUUUUAGAUCUACUAUAUCCGGUGUGACAAAAAAGAGAUGAGAAAAUGAUUAGUGAGUUGGUAGCAUCACAGAGAUCGUUGUGAUGAGCAAAGUAACACUAAUCAAGAGAUCAUGACCAUGCACAAGUCAAUGCUAACAUCACGGAAUGUUUGAAGAAAAAUCUAAGGUAAUACAAUAAAUGUUUCUGGUAACAUCUCAUGUGUGAAGAAAAAUAUUUGAUCUACUUAUGAUUUCAUCCAUAUAUCUCUAAAAAGACUGAAGGUUAUGUGUUAAGUUUGUCCUUCAUUCAACCUUUCUACGUCAUCUCUCUUGGUUUCGUUUAGCUUUCUCCCAUAUUUGAUUUUCCCCAUUAAUUUUGUCAAAAUAAAAACACCUCGACUGUCCCAAUGUAUUAUUAACUUAUUAACAUCUCUACUAUUUAUAAAGCAACGUUUGGUCGUAAGUUUGUCCAUAAUCCAACCUCCCUAUGUGUCCUUAUUGUAAUUUUUCCUUACAUAUUUGUCUUUUCUUCCAAAGAUUUUCUUAAAACCGCCUUAGCUAACCCAUGUUUUAUUGACUUAAUAUUGGUAAGCUAAUUAGGGUGUUAGUUGCAAUGCACAAAAAUAUUAACUAGUAUGCUAAUAAAAGGGCCCCAGUUUUUGGUUUCGCCCCGGGCCCCUGAAAUUACAGGACCGGUCCUGGAUAGUUAUUUUGUUGAGUUUGCUCCCACUACUAUGAAUGAUAAGAAUUUUGCUUGUGUGGGUAGUAAUAAAAAUCAUAUGCUUGUGCAUCAUGA
rnacentral:lncRNA from 1 species